GAUGAAGAACGUAGCGAAAUGCGAUACGUAAUGCGAAUUGCAGAUUCAGCGAGUCAUCGAAUCUUUGAACGCACAUUGCGCCCCCUGGCAUUCCGGGGGGCAUGCCUGUCCGAGCGUCAUUUCUGCCCUCCAGCCCGGCUGGGUGUUGGGCGCUGUCCCCCCGGGGACACGCCCCAAAGGCAGUGGCGGCGCCGCGUCGGGUCCUCGAGCGUAUGGGGCUUUGUCACCCGCUCGGGACGGACUCGUCGGCGCUGGUCUUCCUCCAGGCGACCCUUCGGGGCUCGUCUUCCUUCGGUUGACCUCGGAUCAGGUAGGGUUACCCGCUGAACUUAAGCAUAUCAAUAAGCGGAGGA
rnacentral:misc_RNA from 1 species